UACGGGGGGAGCAAGCGUUGUUCGGAUUUACUGGGCGUAAAGGGCGCGUAGGCGGCCACCGCAAGUCGACUGUGAAAUCUCCGGGCUUAACCCGGAAAGGUCAGCCGAUACUGCGGGCUAGAGUGCAGAAGGGGCAACUGGAAUUCUCGGUGUAGCGGUGAAAUGCGUAGAUAUCGAGAGGAACACCUGCGGCGAAGGCGGGUUGCUGGGCUGACACUGACGCUGAGGCGCGAAAGCCAGGGGAGCAAACGGG
rnacentral:rRNA from 1 species